rnacentral:rRNA from 1 species
GUGAGGAAUAUUGCGCAAUGGAGGCAACUCUGACGCAGCCAUGCCGCGUGCAGGAAGAAGGCGCUACGCGUUGUAAACUGCUUUUAACCGGGAAGAAACCCCAGGACGUGUCCUGGGUUGACGGUACCGGAGGAAUAAGCUCCGGCUAACUUCGUGCCAGCAGCCGCGGUAAUACGAAGGGUGCAAGCGUUAUCCGGAUUCAUUGGGUUUAAAGGGUGCGUAGGCGGAGCGUUAAGUCAGUGGUGAAAUCCUGCAGCUUAACUGUAGACUUGCCAUUGAUACUGGCGCUCUUGAGUGCGCUUGAAGUGGGCGGAAUGUGCCGUGUAGCGGUGAAAUGCUUAGAUAUGGCACAGAACACCAAUUGCGAAGGCAGCUCACUAAGGCGAUACUGACGCUGAGGCACGAAAGCGUGGGGAUCGAACAGGAUUAGAUACCCUGGUAGUCC